CGGAAAGAAAGAAGUGGGGGGGGGCUCAUCUUUAUGAGAAUGCCUGCAGCCAGCAGCGUUGUGAGGGGAGACCCAGCAGGACUGUAGCCUACGGCCCCAACUCAAACCUGACCUUUGGAAGUUCUCGCUCAGAGUCAGAUAAAAGCGCAAGGGAGGCAGUCGAAAUCAGAGGAGAACUGUGGUAAAUAAGAAACGGAGGAGAUGAAGGCCACAGUCUCUGUGACUUACAGAGGAAGCGCUGCCGUGUGUUGUUUUGUGAAUAACUCAAUUCAGAAACAGAGAGAGAAAUAAGUUCCACAUGCUUUAGAUGAACAAAAAGUGCCCCGAGAGAGAGGGAAACAGACUGCUCGAGGACCGCUCAUCAAAAAGAAAUCGGCGAACAGGAUCAAAAAAGAAACUUUGCUUACUCUCGUCUGGUUCCUAAUCAUCUUCUACAUAAACAAGGCAGCCGAGAUAAGAGAUGAAACGUUCUGUCGCCUUCUUCAAGAUCAGCCUGACAAUGAGCUGUCUUUGAGAUGGAUAAACAUUCGUCUGGCACCACACCUUGAUGGGUCACCUCAUUUACAACCUUAAAUAGUGUGACGGGAAUGAAGUGUUAAUUUAUCAAAGCGGAUUUCCUCUGCCGUAUCAUUAAAGGCAAGACUUUUAUUGUACUGUUAUCAACCAAACCAACAACUUAUCAACACAAGUCAAGGAAGGCACCCCGAUGCUCAAAAUGAUCCUAGGCGGAAGGAUUUCAAAGCAGAGGAAACUGUGUGGAGCCAGCAGAGGGCCUGGUGCUAGACAAUAUUUACUUGAAAGGAAGAGCUGCUCUAUUGAUGUCUCCCACCCGCCUAAACCCCCCCCCCGGCAUAAUGCAAGCCAGGUGAGAGCAAACCACUCUAAACUU